rnacentral:misc_RNA from 1 species
UACAGAGGUCCCAAGCGUUGUUCGGAUUCACUGGGCGUAAAGGGUGCGUAGGUGGCCAGGUAAGUUUGAUGUGAAAGCCCCGAGCUCAACUCGGGAAUGGCAUUGAAUACUAUCUGGCUAGAGGGUCGGAGGGGAGACUGGAAUUCUCGGUGUAGCAGUGAAAUGCGUAGAUAUCGAGAGGAACACCAGUGGCGAAGGCGAGUCUCUGGACGACUCCUGACACUGAGGCACGAAAGCUAGGGGAGCAAACAGG